rnacentral:rRNA from 1 species
UGGGGAAUAUUGCACAAUGGACGGAAGUCUGAUGCAGCAACGCCGCGUGCGGGAUGACGGCCUUCGGGUUGUAAACCGCUUUUUCUCAUGACGAAGUUUUUUGACGGUAGUGGGGGAAGAAGCACCGGCUAACUACGUGCCAGCAGCCGCGGUGAUACGUAGGGUGCGAGCGUUGUCCGGAAUUAUUGGGCGUAAAGAGCUUGUAGGCGGUUUGUCGCGUCGAUAGUGCAAACUCAGUGCUUAACGCUGAGCCUGCUGUUGAUACGGGCAGACUAGAGGAAGGUAGGGGAGAAUGGAAUUCCCGGUGGAGCGGUGGAAUGCGCAGAUAUCGGGAGGAACACCGGUGGCGAAGGCGGUUCUCUGAGCCUUUCCUGACGCUGAGAAGCGAAAGCGUGGGGAGCGAACAGG